ensembl:snoRNA SNORD10 small nucleolar RNA, C/D box 10
UGUAUAAUGAUGAUUCCAUGCGUGUCAGCUGACUCUGUAAACCCUCAUUGUGGUGUUGCUCUAGCUGGUGUUCUGCUAGCUUCAGUCCUCAGUGCAGCAGGGGUCCAGAGAUAUGAUCAAAUCCUUUCUUCUGAAUACA